AAUGAACGCUGGCGGUGUGCUUAACACAUGCAAGUCGAACGAUAAAGCACAGCUUGCUGGGUGGUUUAGUGGCGAACUGGUGAGUAACACGUGAGUAACCUGCACUUAACUCUGGGAUAAGCCUGGGCGACUGGGUCUAAUACCGGAUAGGAGCGUCGACCGCAUGGUGGGUGUUGGAAAGAUUUAUAGGUUUUGGAUGGAAUUGCGGCCUAUUAGCUUGUUGGUGGGGUAAUGGCUCACGCAGGCGACGACGGAUAGCCGGCCUUAGAGGGUGACCGGCCACACUGGUACUAAGACACGGCCCAGACUCGUACGGUGGGCAGCAGUGGGGAAUAUUGCACAAUGGGCGCAAGCCGGAUGCAGCGACGCCGCGUGAGGGAUGACGGCCUGCGGGUUGUAAACCGCUGUCAGUAGAGAAGAAGCGAAAGUGACGGUACCUGCAGAAGAAGCACCGGCUAACUACGUG
rnacentral:rRNA from 1 species